rnacentral:rRNA from 1 species
GAAUAUUGGACAAUGGGCGAAAGCCUGAUCCAGCCAUGCCGCGUGUGUGAAGAAGGUCUUCGGAUUGUAAAGCCCUUUCAGUUGGGAGGAAGGGAAGUAAGUGAAUACCUUGCUGUUUUGACGUUACCGACAGAAGAAGCAACGGCGAACUAUGGGAAAGCAGCCGCGGUAAUACAGAGGGUGGAAGAGUUAAUCGGAAUUGAUGGGCGUAAAGCGCGCGUAGGUGGUUCGUUGAGUUGUAUGUGAAAUCCCCGGGCUCAGCCUGGGAACUGCAUCCAAAACUGGCGAGCUAGAGUAGGGCAGAGGGUGGUGGAAUUUCCUGUGUAGCGGUGAAAUGCGUAGAUAUAGGAAGGAACACCAGUGGCGAAGGCGACCACCUGGGCUCAUACUGACACUGAGGUGCGAAAGCGUGGGGAGCAAACA